GUGAGGAAUUUUCCGCAAUGGGCGAAAGCCUGAUCCAGCCAUGCCGCGUGAACGAUGAAGGACUUCGGGUUGUAAAGUUCUUUAGCCGAUGAUUAUAAUGACUGUAGUCGGAAAAUAAGCCCCGGCUAACUUCGUGCCAGCAGCCGCGGUAAUACGAAGGGGGCGAGCGUUAUUCGGAAUCACUGGGCGUAAAGCGUGCGUAGGCGGUUUUGUAAGUUAGGAGUGAAAGCCCAGGGCUCAACCUUGGAAUUGCUCUUAAAACUGCAAGGCUCGAAUCUCGGAGAGGAUAGCGGAAUUUCCAGUGUAUCAGUGAAAUGCGUAGAUAUUGGAAGGAACACCAGUGGCGUAAGCGGCUAUCUGGACGAGUAUUGACGCUGAGGCACGAAAGCGUGGGGAUCAAACAGGAUUAGAUACCCGGGUAGUCC
rnacentral:rRNA from 1 species